rnacentral:lncRNA from 1 species
AUUUCCUCUCUUUGGAUGCAGGAAAACGGAUGGAAGAGUGGAUUGUUCUAAUGAGUGGGUCACAGAAGCUCCAGUAGAAAUGCUCAGGAAAGGAGGAUAUGAAUAGGAAGUGAGCUUGUUCCUCUUCUGUGGGAGGCGAAGCAACAAGAGAAAAGUGACUACCACAGAUGACAAUGGUGUAGCUUGAGUUGGAGGAGUGGGUUACCUCAGCUCCCUGCCCCAGGACCAAGAAGGAGAAAAGACAGAAGACACUAUUGACUGAACACAUCUUGCCCAGGGCAGGACCAGGGAGAACCUCUGGCUGCAGGCAUCCUUGCCAGUGUCUCCUUGGUUUUGUCCUGUGAAAAGGCAUAAUAGUACCAGACUGAUUUCUGCGCCCAGGCAGGAACACUCAAUGAAUCAAUGCUGAUGACCGCUGCCACAAUUGUCAUGUUGUGCAGCUCUAAAACGUAUAGACCAGGAGGGAACAAGACCUGUGGCUUCAUGGAACACACACGUGAACAAAAUAGCCCACCUACUCCUCAGUCCUGCUUCUGGUAUGUGCAAUGCCUCCAACCUCCAAGACAUUCCAGCAUUCUCUACUCAAGAGACUUGCUUGAUGUGGGUGGGAUCCUUUCACAGGAGAAAGCUGACAGGAUGUCCUUCCAUGGGUGGCCCAGUAUGGGAAUUGUGGACGAGUACAAAGUUUUAAAAAAUGCCUGUCAAGAUGCAUUAAAUUGA